rnacentral:rRNA from 1 species
UGGGGAAUAUUGGACAAUGGACCGAGAGUCUGAUCCAGCAAUUCUGUGUGCACGAUGAAGUUUUUCGGAAUGUAAAGUGCUUUCAGUUGGGAAGAAAGAAAUGACGGUACCAACAGAAGAAGUGACGGCUAAAUACGUGCCAGCAGCCGCGGUAAUACGUAUGUCACGAGCGUUAUCCGGAUUUAUUGGGCGUAAAGCGCGUCUAGGUGGUUAUAUAAGUCUGAUGUGAAGAUGCAGGGCUCAACUCUGUAUUGCGUUGGAAACUGUAUAACUAGAGUACUGGAGAGGUAAGCGGAACUACAAGUGUAGAGGUGAAAUUCGUAGAUAUUUGUAGGAAUGCCGAUGGGGAAGCCAGCUUACUGGACAGAUACUGACGCUGAAGCGCGAAAGCGUGGGUAGCAAACAGGAUUAGAUACCCUGGUAGUCCACGCUGUAAACGAUGAUUACUAGGUGUUGGGGGUCGAACCUCAGCGCCCAAGCAAACGCGAUAAGUAAUCCGCCUGGGGAGUACGUACGCAAGUAUG